rnacentral:rRNA from 1 species
AUUGAACGCUGGCGGCAGGCCUAACACAUGCAAGUCGAGCGGAUGAAGGGAGCUUGCUCCUGGAUUCAGCGGCGGACGGGUGAGUAAUGCCUAGGAAUCUGCCUGGUAGUGGGGGACAACGUUUCGAAAGGAACGCUAAUACCGCAUACGUCCUACGGGAGAAAGCAGGGGACCUUCGGGCCUUGCGCUAUCAGAUGAGCCUAGGUCGGAUUAGCUAGUUGGUGAGGUAAUGGCUCACCAAGGCGACGAUCCGUAACUGGUCUGAGAGGAUGAUCAGUCACACUGGAACUGAGACACGGUCCAGACUCCUACGGGAGGCAGCAGUGGGGAAUAUUGGACAAUGGGCGAAAGCCUGAUCCAGCCAUGCCGCGUGUGUGAAGAAGGUCUUCGGAUUGUAAAGCACUUUAAGUUGGGAGGAAGGGCAGUAAAUUAAUACUUUGCUGUUUUGACGUUACCGACAGAAUAAGCACCGGCUAACUCUGUGCCAGCCGCCGCAGUAACAC